rnacentral:rRNA from 1 species
CCCGCAACGAGCGCAACCCUUGUCAUUAGUUGCCAUCAUUAAGUUGGGCACUCUAAUGAGACUGCCGGUGACAAACCGGAGGAAGGUGGGGAUGACGUCAAGUCCUCAUGGCCCUUAUGAGCAGGGCUUCACACGUCAUACAAUGGUCGGUACAGAGGGUUGCCAAGCCGCGAGGUGGAGCUAAUCUCAGAAAACCGAUCGUAGUCCGGAUCGCACUCUGCAACUCGAGUGCGUGAAGUCGGAAUCGCUAGUAAUCGCAGAUCAGCAUGCUGCGGUGAAUACGUU